UCACCUGUUUAUCAAAAACAUGUCUUAUUGAUUAUAAUUUUAAGUCAAAUCUGCUCAAUGAUUAUUUUAAAUAGCUGCAGUAUAUAUAACUGUACAAAGGUAGCAUAAUAAUUAGUUUUUUAAUUGAAAACUAGAAUGAAUGAUUUAAUGAAAUAUAAACUUUAUUAAAUUUAAUAAAUAAAUUUUUUUUUAAAAUAAAAAAAUUUAAAUUUUUAUUAAAGACGAGAAGACCCUAAAGAAUUUUUAUAAAUUUUAAUUUUAAUAAAAUUAAAAUUAAUUUAAUUGGGGUAAUUUUAAAAUUUAAAUAAUUUUUUUUUAAUUAUAAACAUUUAUUUUUGAAUAAAAAAUAUUUUUUAAAAAAUAAAAUUAAAUUACCUUAGGGAUAACAGCAUAAUUUUUUUAUAAAGUUCAAAUUAAUAAUAAAGUUUAUGACCUCG
rnacentral:rRNA from 1 species